GAAUACUGUGACCAUCUCAGAGGACAUGAUUGCUUUCUCAGUUUUAAAAUAAUUCGUGUCUGUUGCAUCUUACAAGAUGUGUGUAUGGAGCUCAGUAGCAGCCCGGCAGCCUCGUGGACUCUGCUGAGUGUUUUCUUACACUGGGAUUUCCCUGGCCUAGAGACUGAACUCACAGAACCAUGGAAUCCAAACCAGAGGGGCUUUUUCUGUCAUCUGAGAUAAUACUGAUUUUCGGCUACAUGUACUGGAGCCAGGCAGGGCCCGGGCUGUGGGGCUGACAGAGUAGGGAGCAGACUCAGAUUUUCCCACAUUUGAGUGUAUCAUUCUGUGCUGUGAUGUUUGGCCCUUUCAGCUGAUGGCUCUCAAGAGGAUGAGGAAAGGAGAAGGCCACAUACCAAGGUUCUAUUUUUGCCAGGACCUGUACCGCCACUCUACACAUGCCUCGAAUGCAAACAGUGCAUGUCCUCCUUGUGAGGGACAAGGAGUUAAUGAUUCUGUAGAAGACGGCACAUCUAAAGAAAGACCAGGUAUUCCGUAAGACUCGCUGGCUGGGAGUCACUUCAAGGCUAAAGACUGAAAUCGGGAAUAUCUUCACACAUAUGGCUGGCAUUGGGACUUUUCACCAGAAUACCUCCAGGGAGCCCUUCCCCAUGGUCCAUUCUUCACAGCAUGGAGGCCUCGAGGUAUAUAGACUUCUAACUGACUCACUUCAAAUACAUGUGACCCAGGAGAACUAAAUGGACACAGUGAGGCCUCUUGUAUCUUGCCUUAGAGCUUAGGUGUCAUUUUAAUGGCCAAGAGUGAGUUGUUAGAGUUGAUCCCAAUUCAAGGCAAGGGGACAGAGAUAUCAUCUAUCAGUUGGAAGAGUGUCAGUUAAUGUGCAAAAAUGUUCAGAACUCCUCAUAGCUAGUUACGUGGCUCCAACAUAACUCACAAAUGUUUUCUUACGCGCGCAGAAAGAGGAAAAUGAAACUGGGUUUGGUGAACAUAUUACAAGUAGAUACAGCAGCGUUUUUAUUGUUUAUUAAAAACCCUAUUCUAAUUUCCAUUUUUAAAUUUAUUUUUGAGGUGGGGGGAACGGCAGAGAGAGGGAGAGAGACUCCCAAGCAGGAUCCAUGCUGUCAGUGCAGAGCCCCACACGGGGCUUGAACUCACAAACUGUGAGAUCAUGACCUGAGUCAAAAUCAAGGGUCAGAUGUGCAACCAACUGAGCCAGCCAGGCACCCCUCUAAUUUUCAUUAUGAGUUUCUCUUUGCUAUUUUAAUAUUACAGGUGUAUUUAUAAGGAGUGUCCUCUGUAGCUUGUCUAGCACAAACUUUUUUAUGAAUAACCAAAUAACACAUAGUCUAGACUUUGUGGACCACAUCUGGUCUUUGUCACACAUUUGUCCUUAAUUUCAUUUUUUCACAACUCUUUUAAAAUGUGAACGCUAUUCUUACAUCACAUUUCAUUCACAAACAGGCUACCGACAGUCUGGCUCAGUUUGCUUGUCCAUCUGUAAUGUGUUGUUAUGUUUGAUUACUAGGUCAAGUUUGCCAAUCUAUUCAUAUCUUUUAUAUCUUUCAAUAAAAAUGAUUUCCCGUAUCACAUAUGAAAAGAGACAUGUUAAAAUCUCUGAGAUGGUGGAUUUCUGUUUGUAGAUCUAUUACUUUUUGUUUUAUGCAUUUUGAGGUCUUAUUAUUGAGAAUUGUUAUAUGAGAAGUUACAUCAGUAAUAUGUCCAUGGAAAAAUGACAUUUAUGCAAAAACACUAAUAAGGACCCUAUGUAUUAUUAUGUGGAAAAAACCCUCUAAUGCAUUCAUGUUAAUGCCAAACCCUCAACCAAUUUCCUAAAAUGUUACUAAAACACAGUAAAGAACUUAUUCAUAAGUAUCUGUAGUCUUUAUAAACUAACUUGUUAGGGUACAAAAUGUUUGAAAUAUAACUUCCUAAUCACCAGACACCUAAUUUAUUUGUUAACCAAUAUCUGCUUUGUAUAAAGUAACAUUUCUUUUAGCACCAAAAAUAUCUCACAACAUUCCCUUUGUU